rnacentral:rRNA from 1 species
CCUACGGGAGGCAGCAGUGGGGAAUAUUGCGCAAUGGGCGAAAGCCUGACGCAGCGACGCCGCGUGAGGGAUGAAGGUCUUCGGAUCGUAAACCUCUGUCAGCAGGGAAGAAAGGUCACUGUGCUAAUCAGCAGUGAAUUGACGGUACCUGCAAAGGAAGGACCGGCUAACUCCGUGCCAGCAGCCGCGGUAAUACGGAGGGUGCGAGCGUUAAUCGGAAUUACUGGGCGUAAAGCGCUCGUGGGCGGUAUGUCAAGGCAAGGGUGAAAUCCCCGCGCUCAACGUGGGAACUGCCUUUGAAACUGGUAAACUUGAGGGUGCGAGAGGUUAGUGGAAUGCGAGGUGUAGGAGUGAA